rnacentral:rRNA from 1 species
GAUGAACGCUAGCUACAGGCUUAACACAUGCAAGUCGAGGGGCAGCACGGGCAUGGCUGGCUAUUCUGGGUGGCACCCGGCGCACGGGUGAGUAACGCGUAUCCAACCUGUCCAUUACUCAGGGAAAGCCUUGCGAAAGUAUGAUGAAUACCUGAUGUUGUUCGGUUGCUGCAUGGUGAAUUAACUAAAGAGUUAUUGGUAAUAGAGGGGACUGCGUAACAUUAGGUAGUGGGUUAGGUAACGGCUCACCAAGCCUACGAUGUUUAGGGGUUCUGAGAGGAAGGUCCCCCACACUGGAACUGAGACACGGUCCAGACUGCUACGGGAGGCAGCAGUGAGGAAUAUUGGUCAACGGACGAGAGUCUGAACCAGCCAAGUAGCGUGCAGGAUGACGGCCCUCUGGGUUGUAAACUGCUUUUAGUUGGGAAUAAAAGAUAGCACGUGGGCUAUGUAUUGUCUGUACCAUCAGAAAAAGGACCGGCUAAUUCCGUGCCAGCAGCCGCCGUAACAC